GGGGAAUUAGCUCAGUUGGUAGAGCGCUUGCAUGGCAUGCAAGAGGUCAGCGGUUCGACCCCGCUAUUCUCCA
rnacentral:tRNA from 4 species